GAUGAAGAACGUAGCAAAAUGCGAUAAGUAAUGUGAAUUGCAGAAUUCAGUGAAUCAUCGAAUCUUUGAACGCACAUUGCGCCCGCCAGUAUUCUGGCGGGCAUGCCUGUUCGAGCGUCAUUUCAACCCUCAAGCACAGCUUGGUGUUGGGACUCGCGUUAAUUCGCGUUCCCCAAAUUGAUUGGCGGUCACGUCGAGCUUCCAUAGCGUAGUAGUAAAACCCUCGUUACUGGUAAUCGUCGCGGCCACGCCGUUAUACCCCAACUUCUGAAUGUUGACCUCGGAUCAGGUAGGAAUACCCGCUGAACUUAAGCAUAUCAAUAAGCGGAGGA
rnacentral:misc_RNA from 1 species